UACGAAGGGGGCUAGCGUUGCUCGGAAUUACUGGGCGUAAAGGGCGCGUAGGCGGUUCUAUAAGUCAGGCGUGAAAUUCCUGGGCUUAACCUGGGGGCUGCGCUUGAGACUGUGGGACUUGAGGUCAGAAGAGGGUCGUGGAAUUCCCAGUGUAGAGGUGAAAUUCGUAGAUAUUGGGAAGAACACCGGUGGCGAAGGCGGCGACCUGGUCUGAUGCUGACGCUGAGGCGCGACAGCGUGGGGAGCAAACAGG
rnacentral:rRNA from 1 species